rnacentral:misc_RNA from 1 species
GAUGAAGAACGCAGCGAAAUGCGAUAAGUAGUGUGAAUUGCAGAAUUCAGUGAAUCAUCGAAUCUUUGAACGCACAUUGCGCCCUUUGGUAUUCCUUAGGGCAUGCCUGUUCGAGCGUCAUUUAAACCUUCAAGCUCAGCUUGGUGUUGGGUGACUGUCCGCUUCACCGCGGACUCGCCUCAAAAUUAUUGGCGGCCGGUACAUUGGCUUCGAGCGCAGCAGAAACGCGAACUCGGGCCCGUCGUAUUGGCUCUCAGAAGCUAUCUUCACAAUUUUGACCUCGGAUCAGGUAGGGAUACCCGCUGAACUUAAGCAUAUCAAUAAGCGGAGGA